GAUGAACGCUGGCGGCGUGCCUAAUACAUGCAAGUCGAGCGAACAGAUAAGGAGCUUGCUCCUUUGACGUUAGCGGCGGACGGGUGAGUAACACGUGGGUAACCUACCUAUAAGACUGGGAUAACUUCGGGAAACCGGAGCUAAUACCGGAUAACAUUUGGAACCGCAUGGUUCUAAAGUGAAAGAUGGUUUUGCUAUCACUUAUAGAUGGACCCGCGCCGUAUUAGCUAGUUGGUAAGGUAACGGCUUACCAAGGCAACGAUACGUAGCCGACCUGAGAGGGUGAUCGGCCACACUGGAACUGAGACACGGUCCAGGCUCCUACGGGAGGCAGCAGUAGGGAAUCUUCCGCAAUGGGCGAAAGCCUGACGGAGCAACGCCGCGUGAGUGAUGAAGGGUUUCGGCUCGUAAAACUCUGUUAUUAGGGAAGAACAAAUGUGUAAGUAACUGUGCACGUCUUGACGGUACCUAAUCAGAAAGCCACGGCUAACUACGUG
rnacentral:rRNA from 1 species